UACGGGGGGGGCAAGCGUUGUUCGGAAUUACUGGGCGUAAAGGGCUUGUAGGUGGCUUGUUAAGUCAGACGUGAAAUCCCUCAGCUUAACUGGGGAACUGCGUCUGAUACUGGCGAGCUUGAGUGCAGGAGAGGAACGCGGAAUUCCAGGUGUAGCGGUGAAAUGCGUAGAUAUCUGGAGGAACACCGGUGGCGAAGGCGGCGUUCUGGACCGCAACUGACACUGAGAAACGAAAGCCAGGGUAGCAAACGGG
rnacentral:rRNA from 1 species